rnacentral:rRNA from 1 species
GGCAGACGGGUGAGUAACGCGUGGGAAUCUACCCAUCCCUACGGAGCAACUCCGGGAAACUGGAGCUAAUACCGUAUACGCCCUUUGGGGGAAAGAUUUAUCGGGGAUGGAUGAGCCCGCGUUGGAUUAGCUAGUUGGUGGGGUAAAGGCCUACCAAGGCGACGAUCCAUAGCUGGUCUGAGAGGAUGAUCAGCCACAUUGGGACUGAGACACGGCCCAAACUCCUACGGGAGGCAGCAGUGGGGAAUAUUGGACAAUGGGCGCAAGCCUGAUCCAGCCAUGCCGCGUGAAUGAUGAAGGCCUUAGGGUUGUAAAGUUCUUUCACCGGAGAAGAUAAUGACGGUAUCCGGAGAAGAAGCCCCGGUAACUUCGUGCCAGCCGCCGCGG